UCCGCUUUAUCUGCGGCAGUCUCUUUAGAAAUGCAACUAAAGACGAGGGUUGCGCUCGUUGCGGGACUUAACCCAACAUCUCACGACACGAGCUGACGACAGCCAUGCAACAUCUGUGACACCGUCCCUUGCGGGAGGCCCUGCUUUCACAGGGUUGCGAUGCCAUGUCAAGCCCAGGUAAGGUUCUUCGCGUCGCAUCGAAUUAAACCACACGCUCCGCUGCUUGUGCGGGGCCCCGUCAAUUCCUUUGAGUUUUAGUCUUGCGACCGUACUCCCCAGGCGGACCACUUAAUGCGUUAGCUACGGCACGGAAGGGGUCAACACCCCCCACACCUAGUGGUCAUCGUUUACUGCUAGGACUAC
rnacentral:misc_RNA from 1 species